UACGGAGGGUGCAAGCGUUAAUCGGAAUUACUGGGCGUAAAGGGUUCGUAGGUGGUUUUAUAAGUUGGCUGUGAAAGCCCCGGGCUCAACCUGGGAUGGUCAGUCAAAACUGUAAGACUAGAGUAUAGUAGAGGGGUGUGGAAUUUCCGGUGUAGCGGUGAAAUGCGUAGAGAUCGGAAGGAACACCAGUGGCGAAGGCG
rnacentral:rRNA from 1 species